rnacentral:rRNA from 1 species
CAGCAGCCGCGGUAAUACCGGCGGCCCGAGUGGCGGUCACUAUUAUUGGGCUUAAAGCGUCCGUAGCCGGGUUGGGAAGUCCUCCGGGAAAUCUGGCCGCUUAACGGUCAGAAUGCCGGAGGAUACUCCCAGCCUAGGGAGCGGGAGAGGCCGAGGGGAUUCCCGGGGUAGGGGUGAAAUCCUAUAAUCCCGGGAGGACCACCUGUGGCGAAGGCGCUCGGCUGGAACGCGUCCGACGGUGAGGGACGAAGGCCAGGGGGGCAAACCGGAUUAGAUACCCGGGUAGUCCUGGCUGUAAACGAUGCGGACUUUGUGUCGGACAAGCUAUGAGCUUGUCCGGUGCCGGAGGGAAACCGUUAAGUCCGCCGCCUGGGGAGUACGGCCGCAAGGCUGAAACUUAAAGGAAUUGGCGGG